AGUUGGUGGGGUAAUGGCCCACCAAGCCCGUGAUCGGUAGCCGGCCUGAGAGGGUGAACGGCCACAUUGGAACUGAGACACGGUCCAAACUCCUACGGGAGGCAGCAGUGGGGAAUAUUGGGCAAUGGGGGGAACCCUGACCCAGCAACGCCGCGUGAGGGAAGAAGGUUUUCGGAUUGUAAACCUCUGUUCUUGGGGAAGAGUGAAAGACGGUACCCAAGGAGGAAGCCCCGGCUAACUACGUGCCAGCAGCCGCGGUAAUACGUAGGGGGCGAGCGUUGUCCGGAAUGAUUGGGCGUAAAGGGCGCGUAGGCGGCUUUGCAAGUCAGUAGUGGAAGUCCAUUUUUCAAGGAUGGAAGUGCUACAGAAACUGCGGAGCUUGAGUGCAGGAGAGGUUAUCGGAAUUCCCGGUGUAGCGGUGAAAUGCGUAGAGAUCGGGAGGAACACCAGUGGCGAAGGCGGGUAACUGGACUGCAACUGACGCUGAGGCGCGAAAGUGUGGGGAGCAAACAGGAUUAGAUACCCUGGUAGUCCACACUGUAAACGAUGAAUGCUAGGUGUAGGAGGUAUCGACCCCUUCUGUGCCGCAGUAAA
rnacentral:rRNA from 1 species